rnacentral:rRNA from 1 species
UACGGAGGGUGCAAACGUUGCUCGGAAUUAUUGGGCGUAACGCGCAUGUAGGCGGCCAAAUAAGUCGGGUGUGAAAGCCCAGGGCUUAACCCUGGAAGUGCACUCGAAACUGCUCGGCUUGAAUAUGGAAGAGGGUCGCGGAAUUCCCGGUGUAGAGGUGAAAUUCGUAGAUAUCGGGAGGAACACCAGUGGCGAAGGCGGCGACCUGGGCCAAUAUUGACGCUGAGAUGCGAAAGCGUGGGGAGCAAACAGG